UUUAUGGCUGAUAGAUUUAUGCAACUGCAGUGUUACACUAGCUCUUGAGUGCACAUAAUCGAUUUAAUGGGCAUGUUUGGUGCAUGCAUUUUAUAUGCUGCGGAAAUAUGUCUAAUGAUUCAAUAAAAUUAAGAUAUAUAUAGUCCUUUUAAAUUAUUUAUUUUCCAAAAUUUGCACUCUUUUUCAUUUCAAAUUAAAACCAUCUAAUCACUGUAGCCAUUACUCAUUGUUAAUGUGUUUCAUGGAAACUAAUGUUUCCUCUGGACUUAUGCAGAGCAAGGGGUGGACUUGGAUGAGUUUUCCCAGUCAACUGCCGGGAAGUUCCAGGCUGAUGUUGGGAAAGCUUGGGCCUCGGAAAUAGCAUCGAGAAG